CACGUAGGGCGCAAGCGUUGUCCGGAAUUAUUGGGCGUAAAGAGCGCGUAGGCGGUCUGUUGCGUCCGCUGUGAAAACUCGGGGCUUAACCCCGAGCCUGCAGUGGAUACGGGCAGACUAGAGGUAGGUAGGGGAGAAUGGAAUUCCCGGUGUAGCGGUGAAAUGCGCAGAUAUCGGGAGGAACACCGGUGGCGAAGGCGGUUCUCUGGGCCUUACCUGACGCUGAGGAGCGAAAGCGUGGGGAGCGAACAGG
rnacentral:rRNA from 1 species